rnacentral:rRNA from 1 species
GGCGGACGGGUGAGUAAUGCCUAGGAAUCUGCCUGGUAGUGGGGGACAACGUUUCGAAAGGAACGCUAAUACCGCAUACGUCCUACGGGAGAAAGUGGGGGAUCUUCGGACCUCACGCUAUCAGAUGAGCCUAGGUCGGAUUAGCUAGUUGGUGAGGUAAAGGCUCACCAAGGCGACGAUCCGUAACUGGUCUGAGAGGAUGAUCAGUCACACUGGAACUGAGACACGGUCCAGACUCCUACGGGAGGCAGCAGUGGGGAAUAUUGGACAAUGGGCGAAAGCCUGAUCCAGCCAUGCCGCGUGUGUGAAGAAGGUCUUCGGAUUGUAAAGCACUUUAAGUUGGGAGGAAGGGCAGUAAGUUAAUACCUUGCUGUUUUGACGUUACCAACAGAAUAAGCACCGGCUAACUUCGUGCCAGCAGCCGCGGUAAUACGAAGGGUGCAAGCGUUAAUCGGAAUUACUGGGCGUAAAGCGCGCGUAGGUGGUUCGUUAAGUUGG